UCCAAAUUCUAAAAUUAGCUAUGUGAUAAGCUUCACAAUUUAUUAAUUCCGGUUGAUCCCGCCGGACCCGACUGCUAUUUGGGUGAGGAUAAGCCAUGCGAGUCGAAUGGGAUACCUAAAUUUCCCAUGGCAGACUGCUCAAUAACACAUGAUCAACUUACCCUAUAGAGAAAAAUAACCUCGGGAAACUGAGGAUAAUAUUUCAUAGUUGAAAAGGCUUGGAAAAGUUUUUCAACCAAAGGGAUAAGAAAAAUGGUUCUUAUUCGCUAUAGGAUAGGAUCGUGGUCGAUUAUGGUCGUUGGUGAGGUAAUGGCUCACCAAGCCGAUAAUCGAUAGGGGCCGUGAGAGCGGGAGCCCCGAGAUGGGUACUGAGACAACGACCCAGGCCUUACGAGGCGCAGCAGGCGCGGAACCUCCGCAAUACACGAAAGUGUGACGGGGUUACCCAAAGUGUUCAAUUUUGAACUGUGGUAGGUGAGUAAUGUCCCCUACUAGAAAGGAGAGGGCAAGGCUGGUGCCAGCCGCCGCGGUAAAACCAGCUCUUCAAGUGGUCGGGAUAAUUAUUGGGCUUAAAGUGUCCGUAGCCGGUUUAGUAAGUUCCUGGUAAAAUCGGGUAGCUUAACUAUCUGCAUGCUAGGAAUACUGCUAUACUAGAGGGCGGGAGAGGUCUGAGGUACUACAGGGGUAGGGGUGAAAUCUUAUAAUCCUUGUGGGACCACCAGUGGCGAAGGCGUCAGACUGGAACGUGCCUGACGGUGAGGGACGAAAGCCAGGGGAGCGAACCGGAUUAGAUACCCGGGUAGUCCUGGCCGUAAACGAUGCAUACUAGGUGAUGGCAUGGCCAUGAGCCGUGUCAGUGCCGUAGGGAAACCGUUAAGUGUGCCGCCUGGGAAGUACGGUCGCAAGGCUAAAACUUAAAGGAAUUGGCGGGGGAGCACCACAAGGGGUGAAGCCUGCGGUUCAAUUGGACUCAACGCCGGGAAACUUACCAGGGGAGACAGCAGAAUGAUGGUCAGGUUGACGACCUUACCUGACGAGCUGAGAGGAGGUGCAUGGCCGUCGCCAGUUCGUGCUGUGAGGUAUCCUGUUAAGUCAGGCAACGAACGAGAUCCGCGCCUUUAUUUGCCAGCAAGAAGUCACGACUUCGUUGGGAACACUAAAGGGACCGCCGUCGAUAAGACGGAGGAAGGAGCGGGCAAAGGCAGGUCAGUAUGCCCCGAAACCCCUGGGCUACACGCGGGCUGCAAUGGUAUGAACAAUGGGCUGUGACUCCGAAAGGAGAAACCAAUCCCGAAAUCAUAUCUCAGUGGGGAUUGUCGGCUGUAACCCGCUGACAUGAACGUGGAAUCCCUAGUAAUCGUGUGUCAUCAUCGCACGGUGAAUACGUCUCUGCUCCUUGCACACACCGCCCGUCGCUCCAUCCGAGUGUGCUAAAAAUGAGGUCUGGUCAGUUUGGUCAUAUCGAGUUUCUAGUAUGCGAGGAGGGAGAAGUCGUAACAAGGUAGCCGUAGGGGAACCUGCGGCUGGAUCACCUCCUAA
rnacentral:rRNA from 1 species